UACGUAGGGAGCAAGCGUUGUCCGGAAUCAUUGGGCGUAAAGCGCGCGUAGGCGGCCCCGUAAGUCCGCUGUGAAAGUCAAAGGCUCAACCUUUGAAAGCCGGUGGAUACUGUGGGGCUAGAGUCCGGAAGAGGCGAGUGGAAUUCCUGGUGUAGCGGUGGAAUGCGCAGAUAUCAGGAGGAACACCAAUAGCGAAGGCAGCUCGCUGGGACGGUACUGACGCUAAGGCGCGAAAGCGUGGGGAGCGAAACAGG
rnacentral:rRNA from 1 species